UGUGGGCAGAGCAGGGUGGGUGCCAGCAGCCUCAGCACAGACACAUUCCGUCCCACCCACCACCAGCGCUCCCCUCUGCAGCCUGUCCCAGGUCAGGGAACAGCUUGGCCUGAUCCUGCUGAUGCCUCAGGGCAGGACAAGGCGGGGAGGCUCCAGGGAGGCCACCCAUGCUGGGCACACAGUGGACCCUCGCACGGUGUCUUCCGCCAUCACACCCAGACCCAGGGCUGGCCAGGAGCCUUCAGGGCAACAGCUCUGAGGAUGGACGUAGGCGUACGAGGGCAGGGACCUGGGCUUUGGGAAUCAGAGAGGGGCCUGAACGUGCCUUUCCACAGGAUCUGUCUCCAGCCUCAGGAAGGAGCCGGUGAGUGGCCGCCAGGAUGGGGAAGGAGGAAGGAGGGUGCAGCUGGGCCAAUGGGCCUGACUGCCACAGUGCGCAUGGCCCCCACGGCCCUGGAGAACCCUGCCAGGUGGGAAGAGCUCACGCCCUCUGUGCAAGUGGAGAAACUGAGGCUCCGGAAGGCUGCCCACCCCCUGGCCAGGGUCACCCAUCCCUGUCAGAUCCAGGCUCCUGCCAGAGUCACAGGUACCAGCCCAGCCUGGGACCCUUGCCUGGGGAGGGGGUCCUGGCCCUGCCCACCGCCAGUCCCUGCAGUUCUGGGGGAGUGGUGCGUCCUGGGGCUGGCAGUCAACACCUUCAGGCCGGAGCGCAGGUCCCAAUUCAGGAUGUUGGUGGCAGCCGUGGUCACGUCCAGCCUGCUCAGCUGAAGCUUGGUGCCAACAGCCCCUGCCAGGGACCCACUCUGCGAAUGCUGGGCCAGGACCCCUGUCCCUGAGAAGCAGCCGGAUCAGAACCCCCUUAGAGAGGUGGGGCUGGAAAAUGACAAGAUGGAGGCUACGCCGAGACCAGGCGCCAGGAGAGGGGACCCAGGCCAAGCUGCUUGGGGAAGGAGCUGGAUUUCGACCUGAGGGAGAAAUUUAUCAAAUUUGACCAGAUCCUGGGCAUCAGCCUUGACCACAUUCCCUUCCUGCCCCAGACUGGGCUUGGAACCUGGGCUGCUCCUGGCGGCCCUGCCCACCCACAGUCACCCCGUGCUCAAGGACAGUUGGAUCCGGCUCCUCCUGGCACAGACUGUUUAUUUCUGAUGGGGUGGUAGGGGCAGGUGUGGUUGAGCCUCCCACGGGGAGGGGGCACCAGCAAGGCUGGGACUGGCGGUGAGGGUGGGGUCGCCAAGGGCCGGGCCAGGCUCCACUGUCCUCAGGACAGAGAGUGGCAGGCCCAGGCAGAGAAUCGCGGAGGGGCUGCAGUGAGAGAAUGGAGACGAAGAGACCUGCGGGGGAGAGAGGGGCAGAGCGGGUGCCAGGGCCGGGAGGAAGGAGGGCCUCGUGGAUCCCAGCGGCUGCCUCCCUCCCAGCUGGGUGCUCUCCUGGCCUGUCCCACACUCUCAGGUGAACAGAGCCAGAUUCAUCCUCAAACACAGGCCACCCUCCAUGGUGCCCAGCAGCAACUGCCCUAGGCUGGGGGGGCUGGGACCAUGGGGUGACCAGAGGCCAUGGAGGCCUGUGACUGAGGGGCCCUGCCAAGCUCCACAGCACCUGGCACCCCCUGCCCCUGCUAGGAGCACUUCCCUCAUCGCUCGCUCUUCUCAGAGCUGUGGCUCCGUCCUCCUGGGUUGCCUCGAAGGAACCCCAGAGUGAGAGGCAGGAGCCUCUAUCUCAGGGGUGGGGGCCCAGGCUCCCUGUGGCCACCCCACGUUCCCCAGAUGGGAGC